UACAGAGGUCUCAAGCGUUGUUCGGAAUUACUGGGCGUAAAGGGUGCGCAGGCCGCGCGGGCAGUCAAAUGUGUAAUUCAGGGGCUCAACCCCUGCACUGCGCUUGAUACUUCCGCGCUAGAACUUUGGAGAGGAGUCUGGAAUUCUCGGUGUAGCAGCGAAAUGCGUGGAUAUCGAGAAGAACACUAAGGGCGUAGGCAAGACUCUGGACAAAUGUUGACGCUCAUGCACGAAGGCUAGGGUAGCGAACGGG
rnacentral:rRNA from 1 species